rnacentral:ncRNA from 2 species
AGACACCGCUAGGGGAGUAGUCACUGAGAGUCCGCAAGGACGACCCUUUGAACCUGAUCCGGGUUAUACCGGCGUAGGGAAGCGGCCGUAACCACUC